rnacentral:rRNA from 1 species
UACAGAGGUCCCAAGCGUUGUUCGGAUUCACUGGGCGUAAAGGGUGCGUAGGUGGUUAGGUAAGUCCGAUGUGAAAUCUCCAGGCUCAACCUGGAAAUGGCAUUGGAUACUAUUUAGCUUGAGGAGUGGAGGGGGGACUGGAAUUCUCGGGUGUAGCAGUGAAAUGCGUAGAUAUCGAGAGGAACACCAGUGGCGAAGGCGAGUCCCUGGACACUUCCUGACACUGAGGCACGAAAGCUAGGGGAGCAAACAGG